rnacentral:rRNA from 1 species
UCGUGUCGUGAGAUGUGGGUUAAGUCCGUACGAGCGCAACCCUUGUCCUUAGUUACCAGCACGUUAUGGUGGGCACUCUAAGGAGACUGCCGGUGGACAAACCGGAGGAAGGUGGGGAGUGACGUCAAGUCAUCAUGGCCCUUACGGCCUGGGCUACACACGUGCUACAAUGGUCGGUACAAAGGGUUGCCAAGCCGCGAGGUGGAGCUAACCCCAUAAAACCGAUCGUAGUCCGGAUCGCAGUCUGCAACUCGACUGCGUGAAGUCGGAAUCGCUAGUAAUCGUGAAUCAGAAUGUCACGGUGAAUACGUUCCCGGGCCUU